CACGUAGGGGGCGAGCGUUGUCCGGAUUUAUUGGGCGUAAAGAGCUCGUAGGCGGCUUGUCGCGUCGUCCGUGAAAACCUGCAGCUCAACUGCAGGCUUGCGGUCGAUACGGGCAGGCUAGAGUUCGGUAGGGGAGACUGGAAUUCCUGGUGUAGCGGUGAAAUGCGCAGAUAUCAGGAGGAACACCAGUGGCGAAGGCGAGUCUCUGGACAUUUCCUGACGCUGAGGCACGAAAGCCAGGGGAGCAAACGGG
rnacentral:rRNA from 1 species